CGCACAUUGCGCCCGCCAGUAUUCUGGCGGGCAUGCCUGUCUGAGCGUCAUUUCAACCCUCAGCUCCCCGUUUCGGCGGCCGGAGCUGGUGUUGGGGACCGGCCUCCCUCGCGGUGGCCGCCCCCGAAAUACAGUGGCGGUCUCGCCGCAGCCUCCCCUGCGUAGUAGCACACCUCGCACCGGAGAGCGGCAAGGCCACGCCGUGAAACCCCCCACUUCUCAAGGUUGACCUCAGAUCAGGUAGGAAUACCCGCUGAACUUAA
rnacentral:misc_RNA from 1 species